rnacentral:ribozyme from 11 species
AAGGAAGGAAGGAAGGAACGAAGGAAGGAAUAAAGACAAACAGAAAAAGCGGAUAAGGCCGAUGUUGAGUCCUUCAUGGUCUCUUUCCUGAUUUGCUUCUGUUUCUUGCGGCCACUUUGUCCUUGAUUGACUCAGUAGAGAAAAAGGAAGAGAGAGGGGGGAGAGGACUACAGAGAUAUGCGAAUAAGGAGGACUACAGAGUUUUGUUUUUUCGUCAGCUGACGAAAAAAAAGAUGACACAGAAGAAGAGGAAGAUAGAGAAAA